rnacentral:rRNA from 1 species
AGUGAACGCUGGCGGUAGGCCUAACACAUGCAAGUCGAACGGCAGCACAGAGUAGCUUGCUCCUUGGGUGGCGAGUGGCGGACGGGUGAGGAAUACAUCGGAAUCUACUCUGUCGUGGGGGAUAACGUAGGGAAACUUACGCUAAUACCGCAUACGACCUACGGGUGAAAGCAGGGGACCUUCGGGCCUUGCGCGAUUGAAUGAGCCGAUGUCGGAUUAGCUAGUUGGCGGGGUAAAGGCCCACCAAGGCGACGAUCCGUAGCUGGUCUGAGAGGAUGAUCAGCCACACUGGAACUGAGACACGGUCCAGACUACUACGGGAGGCAGCAGUGGGGAAUAUUGGACAAUGGGCGCAAGCCUGAUCCAGCCAUACCGCGUGGGUGAAGAAGGCCUUCGGGUUGUAAAGCCCUUUUGUUGGGAAAGAAAUCCAGCUGGCUAAUACCCGGUUGGGAUGACGGUACCCAAAGAAUAAGCACCGGCUAACUUCGUGCCAGCAGCCGCAGUAA